GGAUCCAGACUUUGAUCAUGGCUCAGGAUGAACGCUAGCUACAGGCUUAACACAUGCAAGUCGAGGGGAAACGAUAGAGAAAGCUUGCUUUUUCUAGGCGUCGACCGGCGCACGGGUGAGUAACGCGUAUCCAACCUGCCCAUCACUUGGGGAUAACCUUGCGAAAGUAAGACUAAUAUCCAAUGAUAUCUCUAGAAGACAUCUGAAGGAGAUUAAAGAUUUAUCGGUGAUGGAUGGGGAUGCGUCCGAUUAGCUUGUUGGCGGGGUAACGGCCCACCAAGGCGACGAUCAGUAGGGGUUCUGAGAGG
rnacentral:rRNA from 1 species